rnacentral:snRNA from 1 species
GUGCUUGCUUUGGUAGCACUCACACUAAAAUUGGAACAAUACAGACAAGAUUAGCACAGUCCCUGCACAAGGAUGACAUACAAAUCGUGAAGCGUUCCAUAUUUUC